AUUAUCCUACGGGAGGCAGCAGUGGGGGAUAUUGCACAAUGGGGGAAACCCUGAUGCAGCGACGCCGCGUGAGUGAAGAAGUAUUUCGGUACGUAAAGCUCUAUCAGCAGGGAAGAAAAAUGACGGUACCUGACUAAGAAGCCCCGGCUAACUACGUGCCAGCAGCCGCGGUAAUACGUAGGGGGCAAGCGUUAUCCGGAUUUACUGGGUGUAAAGGGAGCGUAGACGGCAGCACAAGUCUGGAGUGAAACCCCGGGGCUUAACCCCGGAACUGCUUUGGAAACUGUGCGGCUGGAGUGCAGAAG
rnacentral:rRNA from 1 species